GUAAGUACAAGUAUUAUUGUGAGAUUAUGUUUGCAGCUUUUGAAUACUCACAUUUGUUCGCUGAAAUUCAGCAGUUAAAAUGUGUGCAGCUUUCUUCCAUUUUCUCAAUGAGGACCCUCAGAAUUAAAAUUUAGUAUCUUCUCGGGUGCCCAUUGUUCCCACAGAAGGUGGGAAAGCCCAGGUGUGGAAGUGGCCCCAGUCUUGCUUUCUCCUUCCCUUAUCUGUGUGCAUGCAUGUGCUGGUUCCCUGGCCUCUACAAAGCCUCUCUUUCCCAUUGUGUUUUCUCUGGUCUCCUGGGCCACUUCCAAAGACUUUUCUAGCCUCUUUUGCCCACUGAUACUCCUGCCCCAGAGCCCAUUCUCAGCUUGGCUUUCUGUUCUUCCUUUGUGCUCCUAUCUUCCAUAGCUCAAAUGUUUUCAGGGUGUCAGAAGCUGCCAGACCCCUGCCUGUUCAGUUGUCACUUGCUCAGCCUCAGUUGCUUUUGACUUAUUUCAGCCUCAGUUGCUUUUGACUUAUUUCUGCCCCAGAGAUGCCACCUGUACCAGGACUUGCUGUGUGAAGAUAGUCCACCUGUGCCCUCGCUGAGUGUCUCCUGUGUACUGUCAUGCACUGCUGGCCUAGACUCUGCACUUGGCCUUUAAGUCUUCCUUGUUCUGACAGUCUCCUAAGUCGGUCUUCAGGGCAGUGAGCCGUCGGCAACCUGAGCUUCUUUCAAGUUCUAUAACCACCUGUAGUUCACUCUGAGGUCACCCCCAGCACUGUCUUUCAGACCUUCCUGUCUCUAGCCUCUCUUGUGUCUAGUAAACGCUUCCUGGGCCCCCUGUUACUUAUCCUGGGUAAAGGACUCUAGACCUACUCAUCCCUCAUGUUUGCACCUUAGUUGCAAAUCUCACCACCUGGGAACUUCCACUUUUUGUGCCCCCAGUGUACCUUGCUCUGCCACCUUGCUUGGUUGGAAGGUUGGAAGCUUUGCACAUAGCCUGAGCCAUUCUGGCCACACCUCCCACUUUAGCCCUCUCAUAGCUCCCCUUGUUCAAGCCAAGGGACCACAGUGUAAGACCCAGCCCAGCCAGUGCCUGCUACAGUCUGGAAUUCUACAUAUGUGGGGUAUUCACCUGAUAUGGUACCCCCUCAGUGGUGGCUGCCAUGUCCCUCAGCCAUUAUCCAACACUCAUCCCACCAGGUCUCUCUCCCUAUUCCUUGAACCCCAGGUGUUUGGUCUGCAUUCUUACCCAGAAUCUUCUGAGCUGUCAUGGAUGUACUAGCCAUUCUGUCUGCAGAACAUGGCCUUGCCAUACCUCUGGCCAGCUCAGCAUCUCCCAUAGGCUUCGAAUCUGACUUCUGGGAGCCAUAGACUUUGAGAAGAGUGCCUAGGGUCCAGCUGUAUGCCUAUUCCAGCCUUGGGUUCCUGAGGCUUUAUUUGUACAAACUGCCCUAUUGAGAGUCAGGCCUGGAAGGAAUUAGAUUGUAUCAUUGCUGUGUGAAAGAGCCAUGACUGGGGCCAGGGAUUUAGCUCAGUGGUUCCUCCGCCUGCCCCACAAGUGCAAGGACCCAAGUUUGAUCCCCGGUACCAAAAAAAAAAAAUGAAUGGAGGAUCCUGGAGCAGAACUGGUCUCAGAAAUAGAGACCACCAGGGUGUUGGGUGUGGGGAUGCCAACCAUGGUUGGGGGAUUAUGGCUGGGAUUGCCCUGACCCUUCCACUUACCUUGGGUCAGAGCCCAUCUUUCUCCUUUGCACCUUCUCCUUCUGCUAGGCAAUUGCACAUCUGAAGAACCUUCUCCAGAAGGUGGAAGCUCUGAGGCUGAGACAGCUCUGAUGUUACCUUCUCAUUAGCAGGCUAUGGUGCUAUUUGCUGGCGUAUCUUGACCUUUUAUUUCAGAAUUCAUGGAAUGAAGCCAGUGUUCCAGGCUGUCUCCAGGACGAGGCAUGGGCAGCGUGUGUGGAAAGGCAGGGUUGGGACUGAGACAGGUAGGGACCUUUCCCACUAUGCAGACAUCUGCCACACCGUCCCUAGAAGAGCUUCUUAAGCAACAAGUUCUUUCCUACCACAUGUAAAUGAUCACAUCACACCAAGCAGCUCUUUCUAGAAUCAAAGACAGAACACCCUUGACAACCAAAUGCAAGGAGCAUGCCUUGGUUAGAUCCUGAAUCUAGCAAAAAAAAGGGAAAGGAAGAGAUGGUUAUAAAGAGUGUUACAGGACAAGUGGGAAGGUUGAUUUUUGGACUAUGUACUAGAUGGUGGUGUGAUCUCAGCAUUGUUGCUUCUGAGUAAGACCUGGGCUGAGGUAUGUGGUACCUGAGGUAUGUGAGGUGUGUGGUAUCUCAGUACCUGCAGGGGGCUCAGCUCAGUGAGAGGUGAGGAGCAGAUUUGGCAUGUGCAGCGACCCAGAGCUUCUGUGCAGGUGACAUUGGACCAAGUUUGUACUCGUGGACACCAGAUAGGUGGACAGCAGCAUUGAAAUAUGCCAUGAGUCAGGCACCCCUUUGGUUCUAUCUACUGAUAUGGAUCCUCUCCAUGAGAAUCAAAUGGGAAAUGAUGGCAGUGGAGCUAGCCAUGUGCCCUGGAUCCUUUAGGGCUCAAAUGCCUGAGUUGCUGGUCAGGUGACAGCCCUGGCUGGGUUUUGGUCACCAUGGUUGGCUGUGCUCCUCACAGUGCAGUGACAUCAAGGGUAGCCCUAGAAGGUGGUACAUUAACAGAGUGGAGAGACUGAUUGCCCUUUUAAUGAGGCCACUAUUAGUGAGGCUCAUCUGAUCUGGCUGUAGCACCUAUCUUAAAAAGACUGAUAAGGUAGCCUUUUUUUUUUUUUUUAAGAGUCAUAGGUACCACUAGGGAUUUGGUAAUGUAAGCAAGUUUGCAGCAAGUGGCAGGAAAAAAUCAGUGCUGAUUCCUGGCCAAGUUGAAAGCUUGGUGAGUGCUAGGAAAUGUGUCAGUUGCCACAGAGAGAUCUGUCAUUACUUUCUCCUUUUACUCAAGGGCUCACCUUGGCUCUCUAGACUCUGACAACUCACCUUACCAUUGCUGUCCCUCAGAGAGGUGCUGGUGGCAUAAAUCUAAUAUGGUGCUGCCACAGCCCAUGGAGAGAUUUCUGCCUGCAGCCACAGAGGGACAGAGGAGAAACGCCUGUACAGUUUGUCCUUCUGUCCUAAAGUAUCUGAGUGCUGGGCACAAGGAUGGGUGCUGGCUGUGGAGUAGAGGUGGUUGUGGAAUGACAAUAAACACAGGUCUGACCUUUUGGGGUAGGGAUCCUACCUUGCCUUCCUGGAUGAUGGUGUUUAGGCUAAGGGCUCAAGAAGAUAUGAAGGAGGAGGAACCUGAGGGGAUACAUGAGGUGCAGAGUCUAGUCUGGAGGGCAAGCAGGCACUGCUGUGCAGCCCACACAGUGCUAAAGUGGUCUCUGGUGCUUCAGCAAGCUGGUAAGGUGAAGUGGGAGAGAUUUGUACUGGGUGAUAUUGUUGCUGGCUUCCUGUGGAGAAUACGUAUGGGGGUUUGUUGAAAGGGUUGUAUAUAGAUACUCAAUGUUUCAAUACUCACAUAUUUUUCACUUAUUGGUAUACAGUUCUAUAAGUUAGGUAGAGAGUAUAGCAUUCAACACCCCCCACAACCUUCUCCCCUGUCAUUAUCAUCUUGCAUUAGUAUGGUUACAGCUUGUGCACCUCCACUGCUGCAUCAUCAUCACCCAGACUGAUAUUAGGGCUCCCUCCUGGUGUUGGACAUGCUGUAAGUUUGGGUAGGUGUAUGACAUAUUUCCGCUGUUAAGUUUCUUCGAAUACUUUCUCUGCCCUAAAUCCCCUGUGCUCUGUCUCUUCAUCUCUGCCUCCACCCAACCCUUGGUAACCCCUGGUCUUAUAUUGUCUGCAUUGUAUUGACCUGUUCUAAAUGAGUCUUGGAGCUACUAUAACAGUUAAUACAUAGAGCAGAGCUGAGUAUGGUGGUACAUGACUGUAAUUUCUGCACUGAGGGAGCCUGAAGCAGGACGAUUGCAAGUUCAAGUAUGACUUGGGCAACUUAACCAGACCUUGUCUCAAAAUAAAACUAAAAUGACUGGGGAUGUAUAGCUUAGUGGUAGAGCACCUUUUAUGGUUUAGAUCUAGAAUGCUAUCUUAUUUUUUCUUGUUGCUGAGACAAAAUACCUGACACCCAAAGUUAAAAGAGGAAAGGUUUAUUUCAGUUCAGUUUGUAGAAGUUUCAGUCCAUAGUUGGCUGGUUCCAAGGCAGGGUGGCACGGCAGAGGGGCACUGCAGAGGAGAAACAGUGCAUGGCAGGGCAGGGCAGACAGAAGGCAGCAAGCAGUGAGCAAUGGUAGCAGCAGUGGCAGCAAAAGUAGCAGCAGCAAACUUGCCUCUCCCAUUUAUCCCAUUCAGGCUUCUGGAUGGUGCUACCCACGUCCAGGGUGGGACACCCUUAGUCCCAGCAUCACACCCCCUAGAUCCAGCCACUUCUGAAAAUCGUCACCCAUGACCUCUUGAGGCUUUAGGGGGACAUCUAGAUACAAGCCAUAACAAAUGUCCUCUAGAAGUUUCAUGUGUUCAGAGGGCUACCACAGUACGUUACAAAGGGAGAAACCUGCGGAUCAAAGCACCCAUGUGUCGGGCCCUAAAGAAGCUCUGUGAUCCUGAUGGCUUGAGUGAUGAAGAGGACCAGAAACCAGUGCGCCUGCCCUUGAAAGUCCCUGUAGAGCUACAGCCACGGAACAACCAUGCCUGGGCCCGAGUGCAGAGCCUUGCCCAGAACCCCCCGCCUCAGGUGAUGCAGUCUUCUAGGGAAGGGGGGUGGGGGAAGGUUGACACAGGCCCUGCACUAUUUGUAUUUUCAUUUUCCUGAGAGAAUUUCUGGUAAGAAGCCAG
rnacentral:lncRNA from 1 species